CGGGCCAGCAGGCGCGUCAGCUCGCUCUCAGACAGCUCAGGCCGUUCUUCCUGCAGCUGCCGUCUUUUCUCCUCAGAAAAGAUGAACAUGGCCGACACGGGCCGCUUGGGCUUCUCCGAGCCACCCUGUCCAUUGGCAGAGAGGGUUGGCGUCCACAGUUCCCGAGGUUGCGCCAGAAGGAGCCACAGGGCUCCCAGCAUCUGAACCCAAACUCUGCCUCUGACCAAAAAGGCACCAGUUCCUGGAGGGAACCCAGAGCAGAGCUGAGCCCCCUCUCGUGCCUCUGUCCCACUUUCAGUCCUCCUCAGACGGAACAGCAGUGUUUGGAGCUAGAAGGCACCAUACAGAUCGGGCUCACCCUCCACCCCUCAGGGUUACCUUUAUGAGGACACUGCAAACCUCAAAUGGCAAGGACAUGGUGAGGAACUGCGGGGCAGAUCUAACGGUGCAGACAGGUGUGUGGGAGAAGAGCUGUGUGAAAACAGAAUGCUGUGGCCUGUCUUUGGAUUAAAAGGUUUGUCCGAGCACCUUCUCAUGAUGGAUCAUGUCUGUGGUGGUGCCCAUACCUGCCUGUGAGUGGGCCUGGGAUGGGUGAGCAGCCCGGGCUCAGGUCUACUCUGCUGUGCUGGC